AUUCAGCUGACAAGUACCAAAUAGGACGAAACAAGUGUCCUGGAU
rnacentral:hammerhead_ribozyme from 1 species